rnacentral:misc_RNA from 1 species
AAAACUUUCAACUCAACGAUUAAAAAAAGAAUACCAUUCAUAAACUGUUAAUAAAACAACCCACAAAACUGUAAACUUCGGUACACAAGAUUCAUGUACCUACUCCAAAUGAUAAUUCCAAAGGAUAUCGCUAACCGUUUGUACAAACGUAACAGAAGAUUGGACAAGAAAGAGAGAAGAAAAAGGGGAUGUAAUGGGUAAGUUGUUUGGUCGUGAAACCCGGAUGCCAAACCGUAACACCAUAAUCACCGCUCGCCGUAGUUUCACCGUUAAUGACGUUGGCGCGCGUUUGUAACGGGCGCUUCAUCGCGAUGGAGGCCAGUGGAGUUGCGUCUAUUCAUCCCGGAGGAUUAGCCCGUGCCACGGGUUACAGAAUCCGGACGUGUAAGAUGUGGCCAGCAACCAGUCACAAUCAGCGAUCUCUCAAGCGGUGAAGUCCGUUUGCCGCUGUUCCAGAUUGCGUCCUUGCCGCGCGGAGUGCAACGGCAUGCGUGUCGCAGUUAGCAAGAAGUUACUUGUUAAUUACAAAGACUCAGUAAUAUCAAUGAAUAUAAAUAUGCAAUCAAGAAGAAGGAGAACAAGAAAUGUUUUUGAUACUUAAGUAGUUUUAUUUGGAUACAACCACCAUAAUGACUACCGAGCUGUCAAAGAGAUAAUAUUUCGCAAAAGCAACUCAACUGAAAACUUAUCUCUCUUAUUAUGUCACGAUCAAUAACAUCUCAGCAGAAGUUUUCUUUUUUUAUGGUAGUACCUAUAUGUCGGUUUAUCAAGGUAUACUUGUACGAUAUUACUGCGUGUUAUUAAUCGUUCGUUGGUCCACACAUGAAUACAUUUGUCACAUUUGCACGCAUAAAUGUCAUACAGUGAAAUCUUGAUUAUUAGAACAUUAAUUAUCGCUCAAUGAAAAAUUAUGAGCGACACGUUGUAAGCAAAAUUGCGAAAGGAUAAUAAAAUAAAUUAUUAUAUCUUUAUUUAAAAGUUCCCGUUUGAUAAUAAUAUCUACGAAAUAAUUUAAAAGGAAUUAUAUCUCGUAUAAAAACUGUUCGCAUAUGAGAAAUUCGAUUAUUCGAAUAACGUGUGCCGCAGAUAUUUUUC